GCAAGUCGAGCGCUCUCUUCGGAGGGAGCGGCGGACGGGUUAGUAACGCGUGGGAACGUACCCUUCUCUAAGGGAUAGCCUCUGGAAACGGAGAGUAAUACCUUAUACGCCCUUUGGGGGAAAGAUUUAUCGGAGAAGGAUUAGCCCGCGUUAGAUUAGGUAGUUGGUGGGGUAAUGGCCUACCAAGCCUACGAUCUAUAGCUGGUUUGAGAGGAUGAUC
rnacentral:rRNA from 1 species